GGGGGUUUAGCUCAGUGGCAAGAGCACCUGCCUAGCAGGUGUGAGAUUGUGAGUUCAAUCCCCA
rnacentral:tRNA from 1 species